AUUGAACGCUGGCGGCAGGCCUAACACAUGCAAGUCGAACGAGUGGCGGACGGGUGAGUAAUGUCUGGUAAACUUCCUGAUGGAGGGGGAUAACUACUUGAAACGGUAGCUAAUACCGCAUACCAUCGGAUUUGCCCAGAUGGGAUUAGCUAGUAGGUGGGGUAAAGGCUCACCUAGGCGACGGUCCCUAGCUGGUCUGAGAGGCUGACCAGCACCACGGGAACUGAGCCACGGUCCAGACCCCUCCGGGAGGCAGCAGUGGGGAAUAUUGCACAAUGGGCACAAGCCUGAUGCAGCCAUGCCGCGUGUGUGAAGAAGGCCUUCGGGUUGUAAAGUACUUUCAGCGGGGAGGCGUUACCCGCAGAAGAAGCACCGGCUAACUCCGUGCCAGCAGCCGCGGUAAUUC
rnacentral:rRNA from 1 species